UACAGAGGGGGCAAGCGUUAUUCGGAAUUAUUGGGCGUAAAGGGCGCGUAGGCGGCUUCGCAAGUGACGGGUGAAAUCCCUCGGCUUAACCGAGGAACUGCCUGUCAAACUGCGUGGCUUGAGACCAGGAGAGGUGAGUGGAAUUCCCGGUGUAGCGGUGAAAUGCGCAGAUAUCGGGAGGAACACCAAUGGCGAAGGCAGCUCGCUGGGACGUUACUGACGCUGAGACGCGAAAGCGUGGGGAGCAAACAGG
rnacentral:rRNA from 1 species